GACGAACGCUGGCGGCGUGCUUAACACAUGCAAGUCGAACGGAAAGGCCCUGCUUUUGUGGGGUGCUCGAGUGGCGAACGGGUGAGUAACACGUGAGUAACCUGCCCUUGACUUUGGGAUAACUUCAGGAAACUGGGGCUAAUACCGGAUAGGAGCUCCUGCUGCAUGGUGGGGGUUGGAAAGUUUCGGCGGUUGGGGAUGGACUCGCGGCUUAUCAGCUUGUUGGUGGGGUAGUGGAUUACCAAGGCUUUGACGGGUAGCCGGCCUGCGAGGGUGACCGGCCACAUUGGGACUGAGAUGCGACCCAGACUCCUACGGGAGGCAGCAGUGGGGGAUAUUGCACAAUGGGCGGAAGCCUGAUGCAGCAACGCCGCGUGCGGGAUGACGGCCUUCGGGUUGUAAACCGCUUUCGCCUGUGACGAAGCGUGAGUGACGGUAAUGGGUAAAGAAGCACCGGCUAACUACGUG
rnacentral:rRNA from 1 species